rnacentral:lncRNA from 1 species
CCAACCUAUGGCUGGAAUGGAUUCAGUAUACAGCUAGAUCAGUAGCUAAAGAAGAAUGUUAUGGCUGCGCAACAGCCAAAACCUCAGUUGACAACCAUCCCCUUUCCACUCGAUGGAAUUGAUUUACCAAGGGGAAUGGCCUGUAUGGUAAAGCUGGUCAUGAAGGCAGGGAAGCCAGACAGGGAAAGCCAGACAAUAACAGUUGUACUGAUCUGCAUUAUCUGUAUCCUAUGUGCCCAUUAGAUCCAGACUUCCCCCUUUCACAGUCGCAGGAGGAGACUAUUAUUGUAUGGCUUGACACAAUAUACACGGACGGGAUGUAGGGGAAGUGAGAACACGCAAAAGAACAGAGAGGGAGAAGGAGUGUUCCGUCUGGGUCCUUAGACGAUAGAGCUUACAUUGAUAGCAUUGGGGUUCCAAGGGGGGUGCCUAAUGAGUUUAAAGCUAGGAAUCAGAUAUUGGCUGGAUUAGAAUCAAGCAUCUUCUGGUGGUCAACCCUCAAUAGAAAUGUAGAUUGGAUAAAUUAUAUUUAUUAUAACCAACAGCAGUUCAUCAACUAUACUAGAGAUGCAAUAAAAGGAUUAGCAGAACAGACAGAGGCAACUAGUUUGAUGGCUUGGCAGAAUAGAAUAGCAUUGGAUAUGUUACUGGUGGAGAAGGGUGGUGUGUGUGUGUGAUAUUCGGAUCAAUGUGCUGUACUUUCAUCCCAAAUAACACAGCUCCAGAUGGAUCAGUGGCCAAGGCCCUGGCAGGUUUAACCACAUUGGCUAACGAGUUAGUAGAGAACUCUGGGGUGGAUACCUCACUGACUGGGUGAUGCGAUGGUAUGUUUGGAAAAAUUGAAAAAUGUUAUAAUCACUGUGUUGUGGGCUUCUUUCACCGGUAUGAGUGUGUUGAUAUUGUGUGAUUGAUGAAUAUAUGCCAAGUAUGAAAGUUUUAAUCACCAGAAUUCUGGAGAGAUUGAUAACGGAGCAGAUGGUGAGGUACGGAUCGAGUCCAAGUUCAGACCUGUGGGACGGCUGCCUGUAUAAUCCCUUGCUUAAGAAAGUCUCUUACAGAUGUUGUCAGAGCUGCAGGACCAGUAUGAGGCUACGGGUGCGGACAGGAUAAAGUAAUGGGCGUGCGUCUUUUGUGUUUUCUAUGUUCAUCUCAAACGUUCCCUCUGCUGUGUCUCACACAGAUAUGUCAGGAGCAUGAGGACGCAGACACCCCGUUAUCCUGGGAGUGCGAUGGCCGCCUUGAUCGACUACAUUCAGCGCAGAGACUAGGAGGGGGUAGCUGCUGUGUCCAGGCCCGCCGCAGCCAGCACCACCCCCGCCAGCACCACCCGGCCCAAGAGCUUCUUGGUCCUGCGAUCUCUGCAUUCCUUUCAAGGCGCUCUCUCGCCCAGGUGAACUGCAGGCGAAGAUGAAGAAAUAGGGGUGUCUUUCCCUCGACCAGCACUGCCACCAACAGAUCAAUCGGACGCAGAGCUGGUCAAAGCUGCUGCUGACAUAGACACAUUGUCUGGUGAAUGGAAAGAGUGGACAGAUCGAGAGCGUGGAUCUGCCGAACAUCAGAAGUCAUUCACAGAACCACAGAACUACUUCAUUUCUAUACUUAAUUAGAAUUCCAGGGGAACUCAUUGGGGUCGACUACCUCUUCUCCCAGACCCAUGGUGACCAGAGGCUGGAGUCCAACCUCGGUAAGGACCCGGAUGUCCCAGACGGGACACCUGAUGUAUUUGAGGGAGGAGAGGGAGAGGAGGAGGACCUGAGCGAGCUUGAGGAGGAGGAGGAUGACCCCACCAUGUCCUUGCCCGCCCUCGAUGACAGUCUCCCAGCAGUACCUCCACUCAGGAAGGCCACUCCACCGCUCACUAAGCCCACUCAACCCAACUCAUCCCAGGUACCUGUCGUCACACCCCCUGAUGACACUAUGGAGGUGGACACUACACCAGCUGCCAGUCAGGACCUGGAGGAUGACGAGUACAUAGGACCUGAUGGGGUUAGUGGAUACCAGCACGCGGUCCUCCUUGCCAAGAGUCUGGUGAGGCUCCUGGAGGGGCCAUGGAUCUCUAAUAGGCAAAUAGAGGAGAUCAUGGCUCUCUGGGGAAAUCUCCCGGAAAGAGACAAGGCGGCUGUCUCCUACCCAGAGAGGUUCCGGGACCGAGUCCUGCAGGGGCGCUUUAAAAAUUCCAAGAACUCCACUGUGAAGGGGGAAGAGAGUAUGAAGCGGAGUUGGUCCUCAAGGCCACACCCAAGGCAGUAAAAGUGACAGCUGACGGCCCCCCUGCUUUUGGUGCUCAGGGCCCUCUUGUGAGGGCUAAGAAGUGGAAGGAAGUGGAGGCAGAGGCUCGAGCCUGCGUCGUCUCCGAGGGAGGUGACCCCGGUGCAGAGACGGUCAUCCUGAGCCGGUGCACGGUUCAGUUCGGCAAGUACUGGGGUCAGACCUUCAAGUGGAUGAUGGAGAACGACGUGGGCUACAUGGUGCACGUUGUGACGUUGCAUCAGAAGGAGAGGGAGCGAGAGCGCAGCGUUUCCCAGCAUCCCCUGAUGGCCAACAAGGACGCCUUGACUCGCUACUCGUGCGCCUAUCCGGCGUUCGUCGAGAUGGUCAGGUUCAACCGGACGCACGAGGAAGCUAAAGUCCUGUCCUCCCAGCCAGGUGAGUUUGUUUAAUUCUCCUCAUUUUAUGUAAGAUGUAACUCUGUUGCUCUGACAGUUAAUUGCUUCCCGUGCUGAUUUCAGGCCAGGAGGGCAAGGCCCUUGUUGGAUAUGUCAGGAGCAUGAGGACGCAGACACCCCGUUAUCCUGGGAGUGCGAUGGCCGCCUUGAUUAGCCACAUCCAACGCAGAGACCAGGAGGGGGUAGCUGCUGUGGCCAGGCCCGCCGCAGCCAGCACCACCCCCGCCAGCACCACCCGGCCCAAGAGUGCGGCUACGUAAGUGUUACAUAUCAUCUUAAAGGAAAAUAUAAUUCUACUUGUUGCACACAGUUGGAAAUGAUGACAUAUUUGCUAUGUUUUGUUUUCAAAGGCAUCUUGGUCCUGCGAUCUCUGCGUUCCUUUCAAGGCGCUCUCUCGCCCAGGUGAACUGCAGGCGAAGAUGAAGAAUCUUAUUGCUUCUCAGCCUGCAGUUCAAGGGGUGUCUUUCCCUCGACCAGCACUGCCAUCGACCGAUCUAUCGGACGCAGAGCUGGUCAAAGCAGCUGCUGACAUAGACGCAUGUAUGUUUUUACGCCACUAUUAAUUGACAUAGGAAAUUUGAUACGUUUUGAUAAGUAUUCAGUUGAAGUUUGCCGACAUUAAAGGGUUUUAAAUAUUUUUUCCUAUCAUCAGCCUAAGGAAAUGUAUUGGUAAGAGUCAUCUGGGUUUAGAGGAGAGUCACUGCAUGUAUGAACUAUUCAAUAUCUUACCUUGCCACUGUAGCUGUCAUCCUGCAUGUAGCUGUCAUUCUGUAUGUCACUUAAUCAUGACUUUCUCUUUCUCUUUUCCAUUUUAAUCACUAAUUACAUUUCAGUUUUACACUCAAACUUGAUCAACACUCAUUUAAUAUUUUAACUGAAUCACUGUUAUCUACAUUUGUAAUAUGUCUGUCAAUUCAUGCUUGCAUUUAUUUUAUUUAUUAAUUAAUUCAUUUAACCUAUUUAUUUCUGUGUCACUGCAAAAGCCGUAGCCCCACAGGUCCCCCGAUCGCUCCCUCGGCCUCUGCCUCUAACUUCACAGGUCCCGGUUCCUGCCCUGGUCCAUGCCCCGGUCCAUGCCCCGGUUCCUGCCCUGGUCCAUGCCCUGGUCCAUGCCCCGGUCCAUGCCCAGAGCGAAGAGGAGGAUUUGCCCCGGCAGUCCUUCCUGCCUCCAAGGCCCUCCUCAGAAAGUGCUGAGCUGCUGCUCCCAGAGAGUUGGCGUUCAUCUCUCACCAAGGAGCAGCAGCGGUGGAUCGGCCGCACGCUGUUCACCAGGAACAGCUUUGGGAGGUCGACACUCGCCACCGACCUGGUCACGUGGUGGACGCCUCCCCAACCGCGGCCGAUCUACAAUCAGCCACCCGCAUCCCCCGACCCCUUCUUCGCAUGUCAGCUGUUCCUUUGGAUGCCCGUACGUAUAUGGGCAUGCAAGCUGGCACGCCCCCAGUCUGGGUGCAGAGGCACACUCUGCAAGGCUGGGCUCUACAAGACCAUCCGGAGGGUCUUGGACAUCGACCGCUGGUAUCUCAUGGCCACUGAGUACCUGGAAUGCGGUCGGUGUAAGAAGAAGGUCGCGGGGUGGUCACGGGACCUUGUCCGUCAGCUGGACGCUCGGCAUCGCUGCCAGUUUCCAGCAAUAUUUACAUACAAGCUGUCCUGUGACCUGCGGGUUGUGAGGAUGCUGAGGUCGCGCACUUUGGGGAACAGUGCGUCACAGACCUACAGCAAGCUGUGUGAAAGUCACAGCGAGUCCUGGAUGCGGAGUUGUAUACGGUACCUCGGGGAGUGCGAGCAGUUUCUGGCCUUGGGCACCUAGCGGCAGUUCACUGAUCCACCGGAGAUGCCCCCGGUGCCCUCACCCGUCUGGCUGCUGACAGUCUACAGCCAUGACGUGCUGUCGCGGCUGGACGAGGUGAAGGCCAGGGUCACCUCCAUCUUUGGGUCCAUCUUAAAGAUGGACUCUACAAAGAAG